rnacentral:rRNA from 1 species
UCCACGCCGUAAACGAUGUCUACUAGUCGUUGGUCCCCUUGAGGGAUCAGUGACGCAGCUAACGCAUUAAGUAGACCGCCUGGGGAGUACGGUCGCAAGACUAAAACUCAAAGGAAUUGACGGGGGCCCGCACAAGCGGUGGAGCAUGUGGUUUAAUUCGAUGCAACGCGAAGAACCUCACCAUCCCUUGACAUCCAGAAAAUUCAGCAGAGAUGCAGAAGUGCCUUCGGGAA